CCUACGGGAGGCAGCAGUGGGGAAUAUUGGACAAUGGGCGAAAGCCUGAUCCAGCCAUGCCGCGUGUGUGAAGAAGGCCUUCGGGUUGUAAAGCACUUUCAGUGGGGAAGAAAGCCUUGGGGCUAAUACCCUCGAGGAAGGACAUCACCCACAGAAGAAGCACCGGCUAACUCCGUGCCAGCAGCCGCGGUAAUACGGAGGGUGCGAGCGUUAAUCGGAAUUACUGGGCGGAAAGCGCGCGUAGGCGGUCUGAUAAGCCGGUUGUGAAAGCCCCGGGCUCAACCUGGGAACGGCAUCCGGAACUGUCAGGAUAGAGUGCAGGAGAGGAAGGUAGAAUUCCCGGUGUAGCGGUGAAAUGCGUAGAGAUCGGGAGGAAUACCAGUGGCGAAGGCGGCCUUCUGGACUGACACUGACGCUGAGGUGCGAAAGCGUGGGUAGCAAACAGGAUUAGAUACCCCUGUAGUC
rnacentral:rRNA from 1 species